rnacentral:rRNA from 1 species
UUGACUGUGCUAAGGUAGCGUAAUGAUUUUUUUUUUAAUUGGAAGGUUGGAUGAAAGGGUUAACGAGGCUAAGGCUUUACCGACGUUAUUUUUUAAUUUUCUAGAGUAGUAAAAAAGCUGCUGCGGUUCAAAGGGACGACAAGACCCUAAAAACUUUUACACGGAAUAUUAUUAAUAGUAGUGUGUUUUAGCUGGGGCGGCUAUGUUUAGUAAACAGACGUUGUAGGAACACAGUGUGUGAGUAUGAUGACCUUUGAUUAGAUAUUGAGAUAAGUUACUUUAGGGAUAACAGCACUAUAUUUUUGUAGAGUUCUUAUCGAUAAAAGUGUUUGUGACCUCG